GCGGCAGGCUUAACACAUGCAAGUCGAACGGUAACAGGAGAAAGCUUGCUUUCUUGCUGACGAGUGGCGGACGGGUGAGUAAUGCUUGGGAAUCUGGCUUAUGGAGGGGGAUAACGACGGGAAACUGUCGCUAAUACCGCGUAGUGUCGAGAGAUGAAAGUGCGGGACCUUCGGGCCGCAUGCCAUAGGAUGAGCCCAAGUGGGAUUAGGUAGUUGGUGGGGUAAAGGCCUACCAAGCCGACGAUCUCUAGCUGGUCUGAGAGGAUGACCAGCCACACCGGGACUGAGACACGGCCCGGACUCCUACGGGAGGCAGCAGUGGGGAAUAUUGCGCAAUGGGGGCAACCCUGACGCAGCCAUGCCGCGUGAAUGAAGAAGGCCUUCGGGUUGUAAAGUUCUUUCGGUAUUGAGGAAGGUUGUUGUGUUAAUAGCACGACAAAUUGACGUUAAAUACA
rnacentral:rRNA from 1 species